rnacentral:misc_RNA from 1 species
GGGUGAUCAAUAUUGUUCCUGCACCCAGGAGCACAGCAAUAGCAAGGAAGCCUAAGCAUUCCCGUGGGUUGAGUUCCUCUGAGAGAUUCAGGCCCUUUUCUGUACUGAGAUCCAUGCCCCCACAUAUGCAUCUGCAUGUUGUUGUAUCUGUUGAAAGUUUUGCAGCAAACAGGACAUGAGAACUGAGUAGGACCAAUCAGAAUCUGGGU